UGCUUGAGUAGUACUAGGUAUGUUCUUGAAACUUAAAGAAUUUGGCGGUAUUUUAUUCCGUUCAGAGGAAUCUGUCUCGUUAUCGAUAGUCCGCGUUGGACCUUACUUGGUUGCUAUGGUUUGUAUACCGCCGUUUAUUGAUUAUGCUUUUAGGGUUCGUUAAUUUUCUGGUUUCUCUAUUUUGAUUUAUUUCAGGUCAAGGUGCAGCUUGUUUCUAAGUGUUAUUGAUGGAUUACAUUGUUUUUUGUUGUUUGGAUUGCUGGUUGAAUUAUUAGCAUGAAAUUGGAUUUGAUUGUAAUGUCUUGGAGAUUGUUUUCGUGAUAUGGGUUCUAAGAUAUG
rnacentral:rRNA from 1 species